rnacentral:lncRNA from 1 species
CCUGCAUCCAGAGCCUACUGCUAUACUAUGUGACUUGAUCGUUCACCCUAGAUGAGAGGGUGUUGAUCCAUGCAGGGCCAAGCGUAUCAUCCCUCCCAAGAAUUUGAGCCUAUAACUAAGAGGUUUAACUUAGUUUGGGCAAGUGUGCUGCAUGAAAGACUCAAAAUAGAAAAUGAUGGAGCAGCCACCUUCUGCUUGUCAAGUAAGCUGAGAAGGAGAAAUAAUUAGUCUGCAGAAAGGGUGGAAUGCAGCAGACACGAGAGAAAAUGGAUGAGUGAAUAAAUCCUGGAGAAUCCUGCUUCCCACCAGUUGUUGGUUGCAGACCCUUCCUGAGGUCUAGCCAUGUUCCAGGACUCCUGGCUUGAGGCACGCUGCAGUUCUCUUUUGUGUUAAGCCUGCUCACAUUGUUGUUGUGUUUUUUCAAAAUGUUUACAACCAAGAGUUCUAACUAAUAAAUGAGUAUAAUUAUUAGUAGUAUGACAAGUGACAUGGGCACAGGACAAAUUUUUACUUAUUUCUACACACAGAGUAAAAAUGGCAAUUAUAUUUAAUGAUAAAUAGGCCAAUGACAACUCAUAUUUGUUUUUAAAUUCUUUCCACUAUAAACAUUCAUCCGCAGCAAAAUUUGCAAGACAUUGGGUUUGGCAGCGGGGGUAACGAUAUAUAGCAGUGGUGGGAAACCUUAUUUUGAUUAAAGACAAAUUCAUGAGAAAGCAAAAAUACUUCCAGGCUAUAUUUCUCUUUCCUUCAAAAUGGCUUUAUUAUUGAUCCUAUGGGGAAAAUUAUAUUCUUAUUGCUCAGGUGAUGUAUUUAUUGAAGAGGAGAAUGUCAGUGAGAAACUGUGUUUACUUUUCAGCCUCUGCAAUAUUAUAAUAUGGUCCAAUUUGAGAAUUAGUAACACCAGACAGCUUUUUGUAAUUGUCCAUCUCUGAUGUUUGCACAGCACCUUCACUUUCACCACCUGAGUUCAUCUGCAUUAGCCCCAUUUAUCCUCCCAUCCCCUCAAAAAGAUCUAGCCCAAGAAGUAUUAUUAUCCCCAUUUAACAUAUGGAGAAACUGAGGCUCUGUGGAGGUUUCAAAGCGUAUCUGUAAAUCCUUUGACACUCUUCCCACCAGGAAGCAGAAUCUAUAUCCUCUCCCCUGGAACAUGGGCAGAACUUUCACUGCCUCCAAGAAAACAAUGUGCUGGACUGUGAGGCUGGGUGACAAAUGGCAAUUG